GAUGAACGCUGGCUACAGGCUUAACACAUGCCAGUCGAGGGGAAACGACGGGGAAGCUUGCUUCCCCGGGCGUCGACCGGCGCACGGGUGAGUAACGCGUAUCCAACCUGCCUCUGACUGAGGGAUAACCCGUCGAAAGUCGGCCUAAUACCUCAUGGCAUCGUCUGCGGGCAUCCAACGACGAUUAAAGAUUUCAUCGGUCAGAGAUGGGGAUGCGUCUGAUUAGCUUGUUGGCGGGGUAACGGCCCACCAAGGCGACGAUCAGUAGGGGUUCUGAGAGGAAGGUCCCCCACAUUGGAACUGAGACACGGUCCAAACUCCUACGGGAGGCAGCAGUGAGGAAUAUUGGUCAAUGGGCGAGAGCCUGAACCAGCCAAGUAGCGUGCAGGAUGACGGCCCUAUGGGUUGUAAACUGCUUUUAUGCGGGGAUAAAGUGAGGGACGUGUCCUUCAUUGCAGGUACCGCAUGAAUAAGGACCGGCUAAUUCCGU
rnacentral:rRNA from 1 species